GAUGAACGCUGGCGGCGUGCCUAAUACAUGCAAGUCGAGCGAACAGACGAGGAGCUUGCUCCUCUGACGUUAGCGGCGGACGGGUGAGUAACACGUGGAUAACCUACCUAUAAGACUGGGAUAACUUCGGGAAACCGGAGCUAAUACCGGAUAAUAUAUUGAACCGCAUGGUUCAAUAGUGAAAGACGGUUUUGCUGUCACUUAUAGAUGGAUCCGCGCCGCAUUAGCUAGUUGGUAAGGUAACGGCUUACCAAGGCAACGAUGCGUAGCCGACCUGAGAGGGUGAUCGGCCACACUGGAACUGAGACACGGUCCAGACUCCUACGGGAGGCCGCAGUAGGGAAUCUUCCGCACUGGGCGAAAGCCUGACGGAGCAACGCCGCGUGAGUGAUGAAGGUCUUCGGAUCGUAAAACUCUGUUAUUAGGGAAGAACAAAUGUGUAAGUAACUAUGCACGUCUUGACGGUACCUAAUCAGAAAGCCACGGCUAACUACGUG
rnacentral:rRNA from 1 species